GCGGGGGUAGCCAAGCCUGGUCAAAGGCGCAGGACUGAGGAUCCCAUAGGGGUUCGUGGGUUCGAAUCCCACCCCCCGCA
rnacentral:tRNA from 1 species